GACGAACGCUGGCGGUCUGCUUAACACAUGCAAGUCGAACGCAAGUAGCAAUACUUGAGUGGCGGACGGGUGAGUAACGCGUGAGAAUCUGCCUUUUGGUCGGGGACGACCACUGGAAACGGUGGCUAAUACCGGAUAUGCCUAACGGUGAAAGAUUAAUUGCCAGAAGAAGAGCUCGCGUCUGAUUAGCUAGUUGGUGAGGUAAGAGCUCACCAAGGCAUCGAUCGGUAGCUGGUCUGAGAGGAUGAUCAGCCACACUGGGACUGAGACACGGCCCAGACUCCUACGGGAGGCAGCAGCGGGGAAUUUUCCGCAAUGGGCGAAAGCCUGACGGAGCAAGACCGCGUGAGGGAGGAAGGCUCUUGGGUUGUAAACCUCUUUUGUCAGGGAAGAACACAAUGACGGUACCUGAAGAAUCAGCAUCGGCUAACUCCGUGCCAGCAGCCGCGGUAAUACGGGGGACGCAAGCGUUAUCCGGAAUUAUUGGGCGUAAAGCGUCCGCAGGUGGCUAAUCAAGUCUGCUGUCAAAGGUUGGGGCUUAACCCCAAAAAGGCAGUGGAAACUGAGAAGCUAGAGUGCAGUAGGGGUAGAGGGAAUUCCCGGUGUAGCGGUGAAAUGCGUAGAGAUCGGGAAGAACAUCGGUGGCGAAAGCGCUCUACUGGACUGCAACUGACACUCAGGGACGAAAGCUAGGGGAGCGAAUGGGAUUAGAUACCCCAGUAGUCCUAGCCGUAAACGAUGGAUACUAGGUGUGGCUUGUAUCGACCCGAGCCGUGCCGUAGCUAACGCGUUAAGUAUCCCGCCUGGGGAGUACGCACGCAAGUGUGAAACUCAAAGGAAUUGACGGGGGCCCGCACAAGCGGUGGAGUAUGUGGUUUAAUUCGAUGCAACGCGAAGAACCUUACCAGGGCUUGACAUGUCGCGAAUCCUCUUGAAAGAGAGGAGUGCCUUCGGGAGCGCGAACACAGGUGGUGCAUGGCUGUCGUCAGCUCGUGUCGUGAGAUGUUGGGUUAAGUCCCGCAACGGGCGCAACCCUCGUCUUUAGUUGCCAGCAUUAAGUUGGGCACUCUAGAGAGACUGCCGGUGACAAACCGGAGGAAGGUGGGGAUGACGUCAAGUCAGCAUGCCCCUUACGCCCUGGGCUACACACGUACUACAAUGCGACGGACAAAGGGCAGCAAGCCAGCGAUGGCAAGCAAAUCCCAUAAACCGUGGCUCAGUUCAGAUCGUAGGCUGCAACUCGCCUACGUGAAGGAGGAAUCGCUAGUAAUUGCAGGUCAGCAUACUGCAGUGAAUUCGUUCCCGGGCCUUGUACACACCGCCCGUCACACCAUGGAAGUUGGCCACGCCCGAAGUCGUUACCCUAACCUGAAAAGGAGGGGGACGCCGAAGGCAGGGCUGAUGACUGGGGUG
rnacentral:rRNA from 1 species